GAGGGUAUACCUCAGUGGUAGAGGGUGUGUCCAACAUGCACAAGAUUCUGGGUUCAAUCCCCAGUACUUCCA
rfam:Camelus ferus unplaced genomic scaffold scaffold228, whole genome shotgun sequence.